rnacentral:rRNA from 1 species
AUGGUCAAUUUGGGCAUCGGUUUGUUAAGCAGCAAAAGCUCGCAUGUUGAAUCUACUCAACUCAAGUGGCCGGGUGAGUGCGUGAACGCGUUUGAUGCGGUCUUCAGGGCAGAUGCUCGCCCACCUCAGCGAGUCCGGCGGCGAGGCCAUCAGGAGGUCCGACGGCUAGCGACGGUGGUGGAUGUGCUGGAGGUUGGUGGCGUUGAGGGGGCAGUAAGGAAGCUCACGGAGAAGGGUGUGGAUUUCCUAGAUGAGUUCGUGCAAUGGAUAAUGGUCGGAUCUGAGGAGCGGGGCAGAGACUUGCACUGCGGCUAUGCUUCAUGA